GGGUCAGUAGGUUGGUCGUGCCACCGGUACGUACUGGUCUCACUGAUUCCUCCUUCCUGAAGAACCGUAAUGCCAUUAAUUUGGUGUUGCGGGGAAACAGGACUGUUACUUUGAAAAAAUUAGAGUGUUUAAAGCAGGCUAACGCUUGAAUACAUUAGCAUGGAAUAAUGAAAUAGGACGAUCGAUCCCAUUUUGUUGGUUUCUAGGAUUGACGUA
rnacentral:rRNA from 1 species